ACUGAUGUUAGCUGUUAUCAUUGCUUGUACUAUAAACAACUAUAAAUUUAGUAGCUGUGUAACCAACUUUUCAUGAUACUUCAAGCUCCAUUGACAAUUGUUGUCUUGACAUCAGACAGAUUCGCUUUUGAAAUCUCACAUAUUAGUUGCCUGUCACCUCUUGUAACAUAAUGACCUAAUUUGUUACCUUUGACCCACUUACAACGUGUGGGAGUCAUAUGUUAUCCUAGGGCCGUAUCCUUAGGAAUUAUAUCCAUCCUUUGGAAUUUGCUAUGUUAGCAUUUUGAUGUGACUUUUAGUCCAUUUUUGAAAGGCUUUGACCUUCGUAUUUUUUGGUUGGCUCACCAUGUUCUUGCAACAAUGAUGAUGCUCUGUUUAGAGCGAAAACGUUUUGUUCGAUGUUUGUAGCCCUAUAGGGCUUUUUAAAAUAAUAUACCUUUUACCAAGACCAAA